GCCAGGUGUGGUGGUGCCCGCCUGUAAUCCCAGUGACAGGGGAGGCUGAGGCAGGAGGAUCGCAAGUUCAAAGCCAGCCUUAGCAAAAGCAAGGCACUAAGCACUCAGUGAGACCCUGUCUCUA
rnacentral:sRNA from 1 species